GAUGAACGCUGACAGCAUGCUUAACACAUGCAAGUCAACUUGAAUUUGGGUUUUUAACUUAGGUUUGGGUGGCGGACGGGUGAGUAACGCGUAAAGAACUUGCCUCACAGCUAGGGACAACAUUUGGAAACGAAUGCUAAUACCUAAUAUUAUGAUAAUAGGGCAUCCUAUAAUUAUGAAAGCUAUAAGCGCUGUGAGAGAGCUUUGCGUCCCAUUAGCUAGUUGGAGAGGUAACGGCUCACCAAGGCGAUGAUGGGUAGCCGGCCUGAGAGGGUGAUCGGCCACACGGGGACUGAGACACGGCCCUUACUCCUACGGGAGGCAGCAGUGGGGAAUAUUGGACAAUGGACCAAGAGUCUGAUCCAGCAAUUCUGUGUGCACGAUGAAGUUUUUCGGAAUGUAAAGUGCUUUCAGUUGGGAAGAAAGAAAUGACGGUACCAACAGAAGAAGUGACGGCUAAAUACGUG
rnacentral:rRNA from 1 species